GACGAACGCUGGCUGCGUGCUUAACACAUGCAAGUCGAACGGAAAGGCCCUGCUUUUGUGGGGUGCUCGAGUGGCGAACGGGUGAGUAACACGUGAGUAACCUGCCCUUGACUUUGGGAUAACUUCAGGAAACUGGGGCUAAUACCGGAUAGGAGCUCCUGCUGCAUGGUGGGGGUUGGAGAGUUUCGGCGGUUGGGGAUGGACUCGCGGCUUAUCAGCUUGUUGGUGGGGUAGUGGCUUACCAAGGCUUUGACGGGUAGCCGGCCUGAGAGGGUGACCGGCCACAUUGGGACUGAGAUACGGCCCAGACUCCUACGGGAGGCAGCAGUGGGGAAUAUUGCACAAUGGGCGGAAGCCUGAUGCAGCAACGCCGCGUGCGGGAUGACGGCCUUCGGGUUGUAAACCGCUUUCGCCUGUGACGAAGCGUGAGUGACGGUAAUGGGUAAAGAAGCACCGGCUAACUACGUGCCAGCAGCCGCGGUGAUACGUAGGGGGCGAGCGUUGUCCGGAUUUAUUGGGCGUAAAGGGCUCGUAGGUGGUUGAUCGCGUCGGAAGUGUAAUCUUGGGGCUUAACCCUGAGCGUGCUUUCGAUACGGGUUGACUUGAGGAAGGUAGGGGAGAAUGGAAUUCCUGGUGGAGCGGUGGAAUGCGCAGAUAUCAGGAGGAACACCAGUGGCGAAGGCGGUUCUCUGGGCCUUUCCUGACGCUGAGGAGCGAAAGCGUGGGGAGCGAACAGGCUUAGAUACCCUGGUAGUCCACGCUGUAAACGGUGGGUACUAGGUGUGGGGUCCAUUCCACGGGUUCCGUGCCGUAGCUAACGCUUUAAGUACCCCGCCUGGGGAGUACGGCCGCAAGGCUAAAACUCAAAGGAAUUGACGGGGCCCCGCACAAGCGGCGGAGCAUGCGGAUUAAUUCGAUGCAACGCGUAGAACCUUACCUGGGUUUGACAUGGAUCGGGAGUGCUCAGAGAUGGGUGUGCCUCUUUUGGGGUCGGUUCACAGGUGGUGCAUGCCUGUCGUCAGCUCGUGUCGUGAGAUGUUGGGUUAAGUCCCGCAACGAGCGCAACCCUUGUUCACUGUUGCCAGCACGUUAUGGUGGGGACUCAGUGGAGACCGCCGGGGUCAACUCGGAGGAAGGUGGGGAUGACGUCAAGUCAUCAUGCCCCUUAUGUCCAGGGCUUCACGCAUGCUACAAUGGCUGGUACAGAGAGUGGCGAGCCUGUGAGGGUGAGCGAAUCUCGGAAAGCCGGUCUCAGUUCGGAUUGGGGUCUGCAACUCGACCUCAUGAAGUCGGAGUCGCUAGUAAUCGCAGAUCAGCAACGCUGCGGUAAAUACGUUCCCGGG
rnacentral:rRNA from 1 species